GCGGGGUAGAGGCCCGCCGCGGUAACGACGGGUAACGGGGAAUCAGGGUUCGAUUCCGGAGAGGGAGCCCGAGAAACGGCUACCACUUCCAAGGAAGGCAGCAGGCGCGCAACUUACCCUAAUCUCGAUUCGAGGAGGUAGUGACAAGAAAUACCGAUGCGGGACCCUACGGGUGCCGCGUUCGGAAUGAGUACGAUUCGAACCACCUAACGAGGAACGAUCGGAGGGCAAGUCUGGUGCCAGCAGCCGCGGUAAUUCCAGCUCCAAUAGCGUACGUUAAAGUUGCUGCAGUUAAAAAGCUCGUAGUUGAACGUUCGGGUUCCGCGGGACGGGGCCGCCCCGCGAGGGACGGCGCCGCCCCGGGGCUCGUGAUAUCUCAUCUCGCCGCCCGUCGCGAGGCGGACGGAGGGAUGGAUGAGGUUACCUGG
rnacentral:rRNA from 1 species